GCCCCGGUGACUUAGUGGUUAGAGCGUCCGCCUCGGAUGCGGGAGGGUGUAGGUUAGAUUUCUGGUCGAGUCG